rnacentral:rRNA from 1 species
UACGUAGGGUGCAAGCGUUAAUCGGAAUUACUGGGCGUAAAGCGUGCGCAGGCGGUCCGUUAAGACAGAUGUGAAAUCCCCGGGCUUAACCUGGGAACUGCAUUUGUGACUGGCGGACUCGAGUAUGGCAGAGGGGGUAGAAUUCCACGGUGUAGCAGUGAAAUGCGUAGAGAUGUGGAGGAAUACCGAUGGCGAAGGCAGCCCCUGGGCCAAUACUGACGCUCAUGCACGAAGCGUGGGAGCAAACAGG